rnacentral:rRNA from 1 species
AACUUUUAACAAUGGAUCUCUUGGUUCUGGCAUCGAUGAAGAACGCAGCNAAAUGCGAUAAGUAGUGUGAAUUGCAGAAUUCAGUGAAUCAUCGAAUCUUUGAACGCACAUUGCGCCCCAUGGUAUUCCGUGGGGCAUGCCUGUUCGAGCGUCAUU